rnacentral:rRNA from 1 species
UACGAAGGGGGCUAGCGUUGUUCGGAUUUACUGGGCGUAAAGCGCACGUAGGCGGAUUGUUAAGUCAGGGGUGAAAUCCUGGAGCUCAACUCCAGAACUGCCUUUGAUACUGGCAAUCUAGAGUCCGGAAGAGGUGAGUGGAACUCCUAGUGUAGAGGUGGAAUUCGUAGAUAUUAGGAAGAACACCAGUGGCGAAGGCGGCUCACUGGUCCGGUACUGACGCUGAGGUGCGAAAGCGUGGGGAGCAAACAGGGAGU